rnacentral:lncRNA from 1 species
UGCUGGCACAAAGGUACUAUAUCUAAAGGUAUCUUAAUUCUACAGCACAACAAAUUAUUAUUCAUUUAUGAAUAAUAGGAUAUAGACAGAGACAGCUUAGCUUUCCGGUGUGGUUAUCAUAGUGUGGACUCGACUGUCUUUCACAAAGGUAAACCAGAUCCUUGCUUUGCUUUAACAAUGAGUUAGUAUUUAAUAUGUGUAAAAUAUUUUGUUGCAUUCAUCCAAACUCCACAGAGACAAUGAUACACAGAUGUUUCUCGCCCUCACUCCCCUCCCUCACUCACCGUCAUGGUCAGCAUCACAUCAUGUACAGGUGAGUACUACUGUAACACUGUGACGGUGUAGCAGAGUAGGGGCCAUUUUAGGACAACUCCCACCGUGACUACCUCCCCCUAUCCACCUCCACCAUGCUGCCAUCCCAAGCUCCUAUGGGCACACUAGUCAUAUCCAAUCAGACAGCCAUAGGAAGCUGACACAUACACACACACACACACACACACACAAAGCUCACAAAGCUCACAAACCGUAUCUGUGAGGUACUGGCAUAUCAAAAGGAGAGGAGCGUGAAAGAGGAAGACAGCUUUGUGCUCUCAAAACAGAACGCGGAGACUGAAACAUGGCAGAGGAGGUAUCAGGCAGUUGUAACAAAGAGCCACAGCAAAGACAGCUGGCUAAGAGCACAUUCCAAAUGGGCGUAGAUGUGAUGCAGGAAAUCCCACUCCCUUUCCCAGAGGACCUCCUGUAUGAGUAAAACACACACACAGUCAUAGAGACAGACACAAACGCUUACACUGAUGAGUUGAUGACAAGCUUCUCAUGGGAAAAAAACAUUGACUCCCCUCUUCUUGUUUAUCCAAACUGUAAAUCUAUGUCACUUAAACAAGCAAACAAGUUCAGUAUUCCCAGGUUUUUACUGACAGGAAUAUAAUAUGUAAAUUAAUGCACAGAUGAAAUCAAAAAUGAGGGGGAGGGGGAUCAUAUCUCUUCAAACUCAAUGGAAUUGAUAUGUCAAAAUGACUCACUGUUAGUCCACAGGUCCACUCAAAUGUAGAUUACUUGAGAACAGUGACUGAGACUGUAGUGUGAGGAUGCAUUCACUAGGUGGCGGUAUUCAAUUCACAAAAUGCAAGAGAGGCUCCAAGUAUUCUUUUUUGGCCCCCCAAAGCUUUUGGUCAAAACAAAUAAGACUGUAAAAUCACAAGGAAUUCACCUAAAAAUGAGUUAAAUUUAGGACAUCUGUUCCCAAUAAACAUUGAUCGUGUCUCAAUGUAAUUCAAGGUAUAAAAUUAUUCUUAUUUUAAAAUACAAUCUCUUUUUAGACUUAGUUGUGGUCCAUUUGCAGUGUAACAGUUAUUAGAAUUAUGUUCUGGCCCCCAGUCUAUCUGCUCUGGCAAAAAAAUUGGCCCACAGCUGAAUCUAUUGUAGUUACCACCGCCUUAGGGCCUAGCCCUAGGUCCAGCUGUUCCUGAGCUCAAACACAGUGUUUACUGGCUUGUGUGAUAAAGCAAUCAUAGGUGUGAAAGGAUUUCAUUAUUUUUAAUUCUACCAGUCCUAACAAAAGUAUGAUUAGAAAAUAUUUGUUGGUCAUUAUGUAAACUGGAUAUAGUUUUCCUCAACAGAUGUGUCUUAAUAUGAGCCUUUUCAGUGAGACUAACCCAUUCAACCAAACCAUUCAACUACAGAAUUGAAAUAAAACAUUAACAUUUGCAGCCCUCAUGACACUCUGCCGUGCAGUUAGACAAUGGAGGUUGCUCUGUGAGAUGCUAUCUGAUGGAGCCUAGCAGCUAGCUACAGCAUGUGUUAUUCCUUAUCAAACAAACGGACAUGUUGACAAUCCCUGAGGAGGUCAUAAGAAUGAAAACUGGAUUCCUUCUUCAC